rnacentral:rRNA from 1 species
AGAGUUUGAUCAUGGCCCAGAUUGAACGCUGGCGGUAUGCUUAACACAUGCAAGUCGAACGCGAAAGCACCUUCGGGUGUAAGUAGAGUGGCGGACGGGUGAGUAAGGCAUGGGAAUCUGCCCUAUAGCGGGGGAUAACUUGGGGAAACCCAAGCUAAUACCGCAUACACCUACGGGUAAAAGAUGGCCUCUUCUUGAAAGCUAUUACUAUAGGAUGAGCCCAUGUAAGAUUAGCUAGUUGGUAGGGUAAAAGCCUACCAAGGCUACGAUCUUCAGCUGGUCUGAGAGGACGAUCAGCCACACUGGGACUGAGACACGGCCCAGACUCCUACGGGAGGCAGCAGUGGGGAAUAUUGGACAAUGGGGGCAACCCUGAUCCAGCAAUACCGCGUGUGUGAAGAAGGCCUGCGGGUUGUAAAGCACUUUUAUCUGUGAGGAAGGGUUUAAUGUUAAUACCAUUAGACAUUGACG